AUACGGAGGGUGCGAGCGUUAUUCGGAAUUACUGGGCGUAAAGCGCGUGCAGGCGGGAAGGUAAGUCUGAUGUGAAAGCCCCGGGCUCAACCCGGGAAGUGCAUUGGAAACUGCUUUUCUUGAGUACUGGAGAGGAAGGGGGAAUUCCCGGUGUAGAGGUGAAAUUCGUAGAGAUCGGGAGGAAUACCAGUGGCGAAGGCGCCCUUCUGGACGGUUACUGACGCUGAGACGCGAAAGCGUGGGGAGC
rnacentral:rRNA from 1 species